rnacentral:rRNA from 1 species
UACAGAGGUCUCAAGCGUUGUUCGGAUUCAUUGGGCGUAAAGGGUGCGUAGGCGGCGCGGUAAGUCGGGUGUGAAAUCUCGGAGCUUAACUCCGAAACUGCAUUCGAUACUGCCGUGCUUGAGGACUGGAGAGGAGACUGGAAUUUACGGUGUAGCGGUGAAAUGCGUAGAUAUCGGAAGGAAGACCAGUGGCGAAGGCGGGUCUCUGGACAGUUCCUGACGCUGAGGCACGAAGGUCAGGGGAGCAAACGGG